ACUCCUACGGGAGGCAGCAGUGGGGAAUAUUGCGCAAUGGGGGAAAGCCCUGACGCAGCGACGCCGCGUGGAGGAUGACGGUUUUCGGAUUGUAAACUCCUGUUAAGUGGGAAGAAUGACCAUGGUCUAAUACAUCAUGGGGUGACGGUACCACUAGAGAAAGCACCGGCUAACUUCGUGCCAGCAGCCGCGGUAAUACGAGGGGUGCAAACGUUAUUCGGAGUUACUGGGCGUAAAGAGCGCGUAGGCGGCUUAUUAAGUUGGCUGUUAAAUUCCUUGGCUUAACUAAGGAUCGGCGGUCAAAACUGGUAGGCUAGAGGGCAAGAGAGAGAGGUGGAAUUCUCGGAGUAGCGGUAAAAUGCGUAGAUCUCGAGAGGAAUAUCGGUUGCGAAGGCGGCCUCUUGGCUUGUGCCUGACGCUGAAGCGCGAAAGCGUGGGGAGCAAACAGGAUUAGAUACCCUGGUAGCUACGAGU
rnacentral:rRNA from 1 species